GAGACAGAUAGCUGAGAGGCAGAGGCGGAGAUGAGAGGAACAAACAGAAAAAUGGAGAAAAGCUGGGAACACAUGGAAAUGGGUGACAUAUAAAGGGCUGAUGGGGGAAUGUGGGGGACAAAAGUUUGUCUCGGAAGACUUCACUGUGGACUCAGCACUGGAAAAGUAUACACCUUUCAAACUAAUCCCACGGAUGAGAUGCAUCCUGAACAGGAUGACCCUGAGGUUUAUUAUUAUUGAAAUAUAUGACCAAGCCGAACACAUGAAAAUAAAAUCAAUCUUUCACUAAAAUGAACAGAAGAAAGAACAGAAAAAGAAAGGUUACCUCAUGUCACUGGAAGAUUUCCAUCCCCCAUUUCUGGAAAACAAGAAGAAAGAAAUGAAAUAAGCCUUGUGCUCUACCAAAGGGACACGAAUACCACCCUGUCGGGAUGGUGGACAGGAAAGAGUCUUUGGAGGGGCGAGUUUCGAUGGUGUGAGAGUUUAAAGAUGAAAAAAUGCUCAGCUGGAGGAAAAUAAUGAGGUCUGCAUUUGACCAACACGUCAACACCGUCUGACUUUUCAGUCAACUUUGACUCCAACAACUCCAAAUUCAAACAACUGAAGCAAGUCCAAGUUCACGUCACGGAACAUAGGAAAACAUUCACCACGAAAUUUAAAGAAGCAAGAAGAAGAAGAGGAAGAACAUUUGUCUGGUCUUAUCAGCUGAGACCCUGAGACCCAUAAUUCAAUCAAAAUGUGAAUCAAAACAGCCAUAAAGAGAUACAAAACAAUCAUAAUGACAAAUGAAUUGACCUAAAGAAAUAAAUGAAUCAUCAAAAGUAGGUACUAAACUACAAAAAUGUGAACUUCAUAGAUGAACCCUGAACAUGCUACAUGCAGGGCAUCGGUUCACAAAGUACCUUUGUGAGAACUCAUUGGAGUUUUACACUAUCAGAGUGAUAAGAUUCUAUAAAAGGUCAAUGUUGUUGUCAUUGCUUUAAAAAAUGAUGCAAACUCUCUUCCUUAGAAAAACUAAGUACAGUUCACUUACUUUUGUUUUCUUAGUUCGCAGGGGUCGUGUUCAUUAUGACUGCAGAGCACUUGGAGUAACUUGAUUUUUCUGAGUGAGCAAUAUUAAUUGAAUGAGUUCAGCUGUCCAGAUUUCUGGACUCCACAUUAACGUCAGCGUUUUGAUCACUGCCAGGUUGGAUUUUUGGAGUUUAAUUUAGGUUGGGGAUUUUAACCUCAGUGCCUCUUUUUGGAGACACAUUCAAGGAGCCAUUCCAGGACCUGCAGGACCGGCACUUCCAGGUCAGCUGCCCCCACCCCGGACAGCAAUACAUUUGAAAAAUUGAUCAAGUU